GAUGAAGAACGCAGCAAAAUGCGAUACUUGGUGUGAAUUGCAGAAUCCCGUGAACCAUCGAGUUUUUGAACGCAAGUUGCGCCCGAAGCCUUUUGGCCGAGGGCACGUCUGCCUGGGCGUCACGCAUCGCGUCGCCCCCCCACAAUUCUCCGUAAAGGGAACAUGAGUUUUGGGGGCGGAUAUUGGUCUCCCGUGCUCAUGGCGUGGUUGGCCGAAAUAGGAGUCCUUUCGAUGGACGCACGAACUAGUGGUGGUCGUAAAAACCCUCGUCUUUUGUUUCGUGCUGUUGCUCGCAAGGUAAACUCUUUAAAAACCCCAAUGCGUCGUCUCUUGACGACGCUUCGACCGCGACCCCAGGUCAGGCGGGACUACCCGCUGAGUUUAAGCAUAUCAAUAAGCGGAGGA
rnacentral:misc_RNA from 1 species